rnacentral:rRNA from 1 species
GACGAACGCUGGCGGCGUGCCUAAUACAUGCAAGUAGAACGCACAGUUUAUACCGUAGCUUGCUACACCAUAGACUGUGAGUUGCGAACGGGUGAGUAACGCGUAGGUAACCUGCCUGGUAGCGGGGGAUAACUAUUGGAAACGAUAGCUAAUACCGCAUAAUAUUAAUUAUUGCAUGAUAAUUAAUUGAAAGGUGCAAUUGCACCACUACCAGAUGGACCUGCGUUGUAUUGGCUAGUAGGUGAGGUAACGGCUCACCUAGGCGACGAUACAUAGCCGACCUGAGAGGGUGGUCGGCCACACUGGGACUGAGACACGGCCCAGACUCCUACGGGAGGCAGCAGUAGGGAAUCUUCGGCAAUGGACGAAAGUCUGACCGAGCAACGCCGCGUGAGUGAAGAAGGUUUUCGGAUCGUAAAGCUCUGUUGUAAGAGAAGAACGGGUGUGAGAGUGGAAAGUUCACACUGUGACGGUAUCUUACCAGAAAGGGACGGCUAACUACGUG